rnacentral:misc_RNA from 1 species
UUUCCGUAGGUGAACCUGCGGGAGGAUCAUUACUGAGUGAGGGCCCCUCGGGGUCCAACCUCCCACCCGUGUUUAACGAACCUUGUUGCUUCGGCGGGCCCGCCUCACGGCCGCCGGGGGGCAUCUGCCCCCGGGCCCGCGCCCGCCGAAGCCACCUGUGAACGCUGUCUGAAGUAUGCAGUCUGAGACAAUUAUUAAAUUGAUUAAAACUUUCAACAACGGAUCUCUUGGUUCCG